GCUGUGAUGGCCGAGUGGUUAAGGCGUUGGACUUGAAAUCCAAUGGGAUCUUCCCGCGUAGCUUCAAAUCCUACUCACAGCG
rnacentral:tRNA from 1 species